GAUGAACGCUGGCGGCGUGCCUAAUACAUGCAAGUCGAGCGAACAGAUGAGGAGCUUGCUCCUCUGACGUUAGCGGCGGACGGGUGAGUAACACGUGGAUAACCUACCUAUAAGACUGGGAUAACUUCGGGAAACCGGAGCUAAUACCGGAUAAUAUAUUGAACCGCAUGGUUCAAUAGUGAAAGACGGUUUUGCUGUCACUGAUAGAUGGAUCCGCGCCGCAUUAGCUAGUUGGUAAGGUAACGGCUUACCAAGGCAACGAUGCGUAGCCGACCUGAGAGGGUGAUCGGCCACACUGGAACUGAGACACGGUCCAGACUCCUACGGGAGGCAGCAGUAGGGAAUCUUCCGCAAUGGGCGAAAGCUUGACGGAGCCACGCCGCGUGAGUGAUGAAGGUCUUCGGAUCGUAAAACUCUGUUAUUAGGGAAGAACAAAUGUGUAAGUAACUAUGCACGUCUUGACGGUACCUAAUCAGAAAGCCACGGCUAACUACGUG
rnacentral:rRNA from 1 species